GUGCUUAACACAUGCAAGUCGAACGGAAAGGCCCUGCUUUUGUGGGGUGCUCGAGUGGCGAACGGGUGAGUAACACGUGAGUAACCUGCCCUUGACUUUGGGAUAACUUCAGGAAACUGGGGCUAAUACCGGAUAGGAGCUCCUGCUGCAUGGUGGGGGUUGGAAAGUUUCGGCGGUUGGGGAUGGACUCGCGGCUUAUCAGCUUGUUGGUGGGGUAGUGGCUUACCAAGGCUUUGACGGGUAGCCGGCCUGAGAGGGUGACCGGCCACAUUGGGACUGAGAUACGGCCCAGACUCCUACGGGAGGCAGCAGUGGGGAAUAUUGCACAAUGGGCGGAAGCCUGAUGCAGCAACGCCGCGUGCGGGAUGACGGCCUUCGGGUUGUAAACCGCUUUCGCCUGUGACGAAGCGUGAGUGACGGUAAUGGGUAAAGAAGCACCGGCUAACUACGUGCCAGCAGCCGCGGUGAUACGUAGGGUGCGAGCGUUGUCCGGAUUUAUUGGGCGUAAAGGGCUCGUAGGUGGUUGAUCGCGUCGGAAGUGUAAUCUUGGGGCUUAACCCUGAGCGUGCUUUCGAUACGGGUUGACUUGAGGAAGGUAGGGGAGAAUGGAAUUCCUGGUGGAGCGGUGGAAUGCGCAGAUAUCAGGAGGAACACCAGUGGCGAAGGCGGUUCUCUGGGCCUUUCCUGACGCUGAGGAGCGAAAGCGUGGGGAGCGAACAGGCUUAGAUACCCUGGUAGUCCACGCUGUAAACGGUGGGUACUAGGUGUGGGGUCCAUUCCACGGGUUCCGUGCCGUAGCUAACGCUUUAAGUACCCCGCCUGGGGAGUACGGCCGCAAGGCUAAAACUCAAAGGAAUUGACGGGGCCCCGCACAAGCGGCGGAGCAUGCUGAUUAAUUCGAUGCAACGCGUAGAACCUUACCUGGGUUUGACAUGGAUCGGGAGUGCUCAGAGAUGGGUGUGCCUCUUUUGGGGUCGGUUCACAGGUGGUGCAUGGCUGUCGUCAGCUCGUGUCGUGAGAUGUUGGGUUAAGUCCCGCAACGAGCGCAACCCUUGUUCACUGUUGCCAGCACGUUAUGGUGGGGACUCAGUGGAGACCGCCGGGGUCAACUCGGAGGAAGGUGGGGAUGACGUCAAGUCAUCAUGCCCCUUAUGUCCAGGGCUUCACGCAUGCUACAAUGGCUGGUACAGAGAGUGGCGAGCCUGUGAGGGUGAGCGAAUCUCGGAAAGCCGGUCUCAGUUCGGAUUGGGGUCUGCAACUCGACCUCAUGAAGUCGGAGUCGCUAGUAAUCGCAGAUCAGCAACGCUGCGGUGAAUACGUUCCCGGGGCUUGUACACACCGCCCGUCAAGUCAUGAAAGUUGGUAACACCCGAAGCCGGUGGCCUAACCGUUGUGGGGGAGCCGUCGAAGGUGGGACUGGUGAUUAGGACUAA
rnacentral:rRNA from 1 species